rnacentral:rRNA from 1 species
UACGUAGGUGGCAAGCGUUGUCCGGAUUUACUGGGCGUAAAGAGCGCGCAGGCGGUCGGAUAAGUCGAAUGUGAAAGCCCCUGGCUCAACCAGGGAGGGUCAUUCGAUACUGUUCGACUCGAAGGCAGGAGAGGGAAGUGGAAUUCCGGGUGUAGCGGUGGAAUGCGUAGAGAUCCGGAAGAACACCGAUGGCGAAGGCAGGUCUCUGGGCAUUAACUGACGCUGAGGAGCGAAAGCAUGGGGAGCAAACGGG